UCUAACUUGCGGCCGAGCUGUACAAGUAGAGUCGGUGUUUUUGAAGUCGCAUUUGCCUACCUGGUUGCUCCAGUACAAGAACAAUGUUUUUUCUUCUGCUUAGCCUUGCUUGUCCUGAGUGCAUACUAGGCGCUGGAAUUUCUGUUCCUAGUGGAACUACUGGUGGUAUUCAGCGCCCCGGCUAUGGUUUUCAUCCUCUGCCGUACGAAGAGAAUCCUCAACAUUUCCACGAGCAACUUCUGAGAGACCUACACGUUUCCAAACAUUGCGACUCCAUUUCGGACGGGACAGCAUCUAUACCCCAAUGCUCUGUUGUACAGGUUUACCCCAGGGCACCCUGAAGUUCUUCGAAAGAUCUUGACCAUUAACAAACGUCUUGGUUGUGCAGUCUUGGUUGAAGAGCGCAGUGAUGGUAGGAAAGGAUGCCAACUAGUGCAGACGAGUAGCACGAUUGACUACCCAGUUCCACAACAGUGCCAAAGGGCAUACGACGAGAACUGCAAAGGGAAGAGCAUUACGCUUUAUGAACCAAGCUGCAAGAUUCGCUCACCAUACCACUACCCUGACAACUCGCACUUU
rnacentral:misc_RNA from 1 species